UACGUAGGGCGCAAGCGUUGUCCGGAAUUAUUGGGCGUAAAGGGCUCGUAGGCGGUCUGUCGCGUCGGGAGUGAAAACUCAGGGCUUAACCCUGAGCCUGCUUCCGAUACGGGCAGACUAGAGGUAUGCAGGGGAGAACGGAAUUCCUGGUGUAGCGGUGGAAUGCGCAGAUAUCAGGAGAACACCCGGUGGCGAAGGCG
rnacentral:rRNA from 1 species